rnacentral:rRNA from 1 species
GACGAACGCUGGCGGCGUGCUUAACACAUGCAAGUCGAACGGAAAGGCCCUGCUUUGGGGGGGUGCUCGAGGGGCGAACGGGGGAGUAACACGUGAGUAACCUGCCAUGGACGUUGGGAUAACUUCAGGAAAGUGGGGCUAAUACCGGAUAGGAGCUGCUGCUGCAUGGUGGGGGUUGGAAAGAUUCGGCGGUUGGGGAUGGACUCGCGGCGUAUCUGCUUGUUGGUGGGGUAGUGGGGUACCAAGGCUUUGACGGGUAGCCGGCCUGAGAGGGUGACCGGCCCCACUGGGCCUGAGCUGCGACCCAGCCUCCUCCCCGAGGCAGCGGUGCAGAGUAGUGCACUAUGGGCGGAAGCCUGGUGCAGCCCCGCCGCGUCCGGUAUGUCGGCCUUCGCGUUGUAAUCCGCUUUCGCCUUUUCCGAAGCGUUAGUGACGGUACUGGGUGAAGAAGCCCCGGCUAACUACGUG